GGGCGUGCGCAGCUAUACAUGCAGUCGAGCGAUGGAUUAAGAGCUUGCUCUUAUGAAGUUAGCGGCGGACGGGUGAGUAACACGUGGGUAACCUGCCCAUAAGACUGGGAUAACUCCGGGAAACCGGGGCUAAUACCGGAUAACAUUUUGAACCGCAUGGUUCGAAAUUGAAAGGCGGCUUCGGCUGUCACUUAUGGAUGGACCCGCGUCGCAUUAGCUAGUUGGUGAGGUAACGGCUCACCAAGGCAACGAUGCGUAGCCGACCUGAGAGGGUGAUCGGCCACACUGGGACUGAGACACGGCCCAGACUCCUACGGGAGGCAGCAGUAGGGAAUCUUCCGCAAUGGACGAAAGUCUGACGGAGCAACGCCGCGUGAGUGAUGAAGGCUUUCGGGUCGUAAAACUCUGUUGUUAGGGAAGAACAAGUGCUAGUUGAAUAAGCUGGCACCUUGACGGUACCUAACCAGAAAGCCACGGCUAACUACGUGCCAGCACCCCGCCGGUUUA
rnacentral:rRNA from 1 species